GCCUGGCUGGCUCAGGCAGAAGAGCGUGUGACUCUUGAUCUUGGGGUCGUGAGUUCAAGCCCCACGUUGGGUG
rnacentral:tRNA from 1 species